GUCUUGAAAAGUGUGGUGAGAGUUGUGACUUGCGCGAGAUACUUUGUUGAAUUAAUCAGUUCAAUAUUCGGUUUAUCACCUAUAGGACGUAAAAGUGAUAUGUGAAACCAAUGUAAAUCGGAUGCGGUUAUCGCGGCGUGUACACACAGUCGGGGGUUGCCUGAUUAAAGCCAAUCGAUGUUUUACAACGCCAUCUCGAGACGAAUAGUGUUCAUCAAUGUGCAAAUGGAGCAAAUGAAAUUUACGAUGGAAAUCCACGCGUGGAAGAUGUACGGAGAUUAUUGAUAAGAUCGAUGGCGUCCGAUGAGAUUUCCUUCCAUGGAUUGGGAGGAUACAUAAACGCCGCGUUUUGAAUUUGCUCGUUGAUGUCUUCGUCCUCGUUGAACGGAAAUGUGCCGCUUAGACUCACGUAGACUAUGACUCCGACGCUCCACAUAUCCAACGAUCGAUUAUAGCCCUUAUUCCGAAGGACUUCCGGCAACUAAACAUACCUAGAUAUGCAGGCGUGCCUACAACAGACCGUCUGAAACUUUUCUCGCCAAUGAUCCUCGCAAAACCAAAAUCACACAGCUUCACCUGCGGAAACUCUGCGUCGGAACUCAAUAGCACAUUCUCCGGUUUCAAAUCGCAGUGUACGAUAUUCUUGCUAUGCAGAUGUUUCAACGCGAUGAGUAUCUGCGUGAUUAAAAAUUUCGUCACGCGUUCCGUCAA